GGCAAGAUGGCCGAGUUGGUUAUGGCGGUGGUCUCAAGCGAUUGAAACACUGUCUAACAGUGUUAGACAAUUCUUGCGCUUCAAAAGUAGCGUUGGAUGCCACUGGGGCAACCCUCACGAGUUCGAAUCUCGUUCUUGUCA